rnacentral:lncRNA from 1 species
CUCUGGUUAACAAUAACUCACUGACGCUAUCCCAAAUAUCGGGGAGACGCAACCUGCACCCGACGGGACCGUCAACUGGGGGAGACGCACCUCCUGGUCUAGUAAAGAUGACUACUCCGGAGCUUAUCGUUCAAGGAGGAGCGACCUCACUUGAACUAAACAAAUGUGAGUAUGAUCUGAUCCCCCUUUAGAGGAUUCAACUGACAAACACUGUCACACUUUACUCUAACUAGCUCUUUAUGCUAGUUUUAUAAUUCCAAUGUCAAUGCUAACCAAAUCUCUAGUCAUAUGUCACCAAGUUCACUAUUGUUAUAGUCCAUGCAUUCAUAGGGUUCUAUGUCCACAUUCUAUGUUCAUAUGUUCUUACUAUCAAUAAGAAUUCACACGUUCAAUAUCACUUGCAUAAUGCCAAUGCCCAUACCCUAUAAUGCAUGAAAACAGAAGUAAAUAUGCUCAAUGAAUAGCAUAAACAUAAAAGGUGAUUCAAAGACUUCGGAUAGCACCACCCACCUGUAGUGGUGUCAAUCCACUAAGAUAUCACGUCUCGGAAUGCGUCGACAACUAGCUCUCGCGACUCAGUGCAAAUAGAAUUAGAACGGUCUCUACCGUAAUUAGCGCGUCGCCGACCUGUCGGAAAGUCAAUUUAGAAUUUCGAGCAUGUAUAACUUUCAGUUACAUAAGAAUAAAAGAGAUUACAUUAGUGUCAUAUUCUUAUAUUUUCCAAGUUAGCAUUUCUAUUCCAACACUUCAAUAUCUAUGUGUAUACUACUUACACAUAAAUGUACAUAGUUUAAUUAACAACUCUUCAAAAUCUUCAUCAACUUCUAAGUUUUCUAAUAAAAGAUCAGGGAUCAAUAGCAUCAACUUUAGGCUGAGUUAUCAAGAUCUUAGCUCAAUAUUUAUAAGUAUUUUCUUCGAAGUCUUAAUUCAACAUGUAAUUCAGCAUUAGGCUGAAUUCUAUGCCAUGCUGAAGUUUUUCAGCAUUCAUGUCUUUUGAGUAGCUAUUUCCUUUCUGUAAAUCAGUCUAGACCUGGUUAACUAAAUGUUUAACCAGGUUUGCUUUAAUUAGAAGUUCCACCUGAUUCCAUUCAGCUCUAAUCAGCGAGAAAUUCUGCUUGAAAGUCUUUUGUUCAGCUCAAGACCAUAUCAAUACAUAAGCUCCCCUCAGCUGAAGCUUUUAUUUCAGCUUGAAGCAUCAAGAACUCAUUCAAUGUAUCCACUUCAACUCAAUUAUAAUUAGAUAUGAACUCAACUUACCUUUAUCUGAUACCUGAACGCGAGAAAUCAAUUUCCCGUACUUUCCCGAGAACCGCGAUCCGCGCUCGCGACAAUCGUAGCCGAAAUUGUCCUUUUGGCGCUGUCUUUGCGUAGGCUGGCCGGAUUGCCGAACCGACUUCGCCAACGAGUUUCUUUUACCCUCAAUUAGGUUUGUACGCGGUCAAUUUCACGGUAGGACCCUUAUCCUGCAAAAGUGCAUUGUCGGGGUCAAAAUCAAACUAUCGAACAAUUCAACUUUUAUUUCAUUCCAUCUCUCUUUCUUUUCUUUCUUUUCUUUCUUCUCUUUCUUUUCUUUCCUUCUUUCUUUCUUUCUUUUCUUUCUUUUCUUGCUUUCUUUCCUUUCUUUUCUUGCUGCCCCUGCAGCUCAGCUUGCAGCAGCAGCUGAUUGCUGCUGCUGCUGCUGCUGCUGCUGCUGUUGCUCAGCUGGCGGCAGCAGCCAAGUGCUGCUGCUGCUGCUGCUCAGCCUGCUGCAGCAGCCAAGUGCUGCUGCUGCAGCUGCUGCUGCUCAGCCUUGAGCAGCAGCAGGUGCUGCUGCUGUUCCUGCUAGUGCUGUUGUUGCUGCUACUCAUGCUACUGCUGAUGCUGCUCCUCUACUGCUGCUGCUGGCGCAGCUGCUGCUGCUGCUAGCUGCAGCUGCUGCUGCUAGCUGCAGCUGCUGCUGCUGCUUGCACUGCUGCUGCUGUUCCUGUCACAGCAGCAGCAAGGGCUGCUGCUGCUGCUGCUGCUCUAGCUUGCAGCUACUGCUGCUACUAGUAGCAGAGAGAGAGAGGUGAGAAGGAGAGGAUUAAAACUCGAAUUCUCACCUUUUUUCUCUUUUUCUUCUACUUCUUCUUCUUCUCUUCUCCUUCCCUCUCUCUUUUCUCUUUCUCUCUCUCUACGUAUGGAACCAGAGGGGGAUAAGGAUGGCUGAGGGCUCCCCUGCUGGCAGGUUUAGUGGAAAUCCACUAAGCCAUGUGUAAUUACCAAAUUGCCCCUCGACUUAAUUCCGUUUAGUCGCACGGAUUAGAUACCUUUUGCAGGCUCUUCUAAAAGUCCAUUUGAGCUCAAAUUUGACAGGCAUGUUCGGUUUUACUUAACAAGUCCAAAGAAAUUUUAACAUUUCAGUUUCGACCCCGUUUGGUCACUGCGAACUGUACCGAACUGCAAUCUUUAUCCGAUAGCUUUCGGAUCAAAUUUCUCUCUCUACGAGUGUCAGAAUAAUCUGAAACUUUAAAUCUAGCCUCAUGAACAUAUUCCUGACAUCUCCGCCAAUUUUCAUAAUUUUCUGACACUGUGCAUUUUCUGCUAAUUUCUCAGUCCCAUUCUUUACAGAAAAUUCCAAAUCUUCUGUUUUUGCUCCGAUUUCAACACGAACACUUCCAAAACAUGCCAAGGGACUUUCACAAGCUACCAGUUUAAUUUGGAAGCAAUUCCUUUUCAUUUUGACAUCAUAUGGUUCAUUUCGACCAAAUUGACUACAAAAUUCAGCAUUCGAGUUACCAUGGCAAUUGGAGUUCUUUUGCCACUUCUUUUCCACUUGUAUCUAUUCCCACACUUCCAAAGUGUGCCAAUGACUGAUCUCAAGCUUCUAAUUCAGUUUAGAAGUCUUUAAUUUCCAUUUUAGCAUUAUUGUGCCCACUUUGAUCACAAUUAGCUUCUAAUCAAGUUUCAGCCUAUUACAAUCUCCCCUCCUUAAAAUAGUUUCGUCCUCGAAACUCGAUUUCAUACUUCGAUUCUCCUGGUCAAAUAGAUGAGGGUAGGAUUCGCGCAUAGCUUCUUCCAAUCCCCAUGUAGCCUCUCGUCCUGAGUAAUUACUCCAUUGUACUUUCGCCUAGGGGAUAUUGCGACUUCGCAAUUCAAGAUGCAUACUGGAUAAUCUUCAUAAGUCAUGUUCUCCUACAGAUCCACUGAUUCGAGUUCCAGAAUGUGUCCAGGGUGAUACACAUACUUGCGAAGAUUGGAGACAUAAAAUACAUUGUGAAUUCCUUCAAAUUUUGGCGGUAGAGCCAAACGAUAGGCUACUGCUCCAACUCGUCCUAGGAUCUCAUAGGAUCCAAUACAUCGAGGACUAAGCUUUCCUCGAACACCAAAUCUCUUUUGUCCCUUGCAUUGGCGACACUUUCAAUAAUACUCGAUCGCCAACUGCAAAUUCCAAGCUCCUUCGACACUUAUUUGCAUAACUCUGCUGCCUUAACUGAGCCGUUAACAAUGUCUGGCGGACUAGGCGUACCUUUUUCUCCGCCUCUUGGAGUACAUUAGGAUUAAAUACGAUCCUUUCUCAAUACUUAACAUUGCAACUCUGCCGUAGGUUCCACUUUAACUUAAUCCACAAUUCGUACAUAUUUCCAAUCCUUUAUUUUCAAUACUUAUUAAUAUAUAGAAUUACACUAUUCUGUGUUCUUUCCAACGGAUUGCUACAAGUUCUUCCAGUCUCAAUGGCAAUGGAAGUCAACAUUUAAUGACUUACUCUUCUCCGAGGUCAUUUAUCAUCUUUGUUUUGGUUACCACACCAAUUUAAUUCUCACUGAAGUGAUAUACUCACACACCAACAGCUUGUCAAGCCCGUGUCGUAAUCAACUAUCAUCGAUAGAUGACAACCACUUAAUACCAUUACUUUUCCUCAUACAUCAGUGCUUACCCGCACCAUCAACUUAACAUGCCAUUGUCAUCAUGCUUAGCAGCAAUAGAUGCUAACCAAUUCAUAUCAAUAAACAUCAUUUUCCAUCAAAGAGUAUUACUCUCUGUUUUCUCACGGUGGGGAUCAUUCCUGUAUGACUUGUACUCAAAAUUCAUAAACCACCUUGGUUCAUAUACCAACUUAUCAGGUAACAUCCACUAUACUCAUUACUCUCUAGUGGAGUCUACUUUGAUUUCUCAACUGGCAUCGCUAUCUGCGAUAUCACAAUACACCACUUAAUUGUGAGGAUUCCAUCACUCACAAUUUUCACUUCUCAACGAAGGGUUCAUUCUAACAGCUCCACACUUAAAUGAUCUGACGGCAUAAUCCACCAACAUUUCCCGUGGCUAUUCAUUACUCAAGUGUCUCUUAGAGACCACUUUACUUUCUCUUUAUCCUUGGAGGCUACAAGCCACCAUCAAUGUCCAUUCGCUCUUGCAACGAAUUUAUACGAACCCGCCAUUCAUGGUUCAGGCCAAAACUCACUAACAGAGUUGUCGGUCACACCGACCAUCGGUUCCCACAGGUGGACCAGGGGCCACCAACCCUACGUAGGCCUACAGCCUAAACCGAUCUCGACGACGUCUAGCGUCUCUCGCUCGCAAGCGCAAACCCAAUCAUCACCGGGCGACAUCCUCAUUAAAGAAUUCGCACACACUCCAACCAGGAGCAACCAAGAUCCCAAACCACAUCAAGUCCUCGGGUUGGGUCGCUACACACCCUGUGUGUCCUCGAUCUCACGAUCUAACACGUGGCAUUCCACGUACUCGGGUCUAUGCUCGGUCUACCGUCCUGACCAAAACUCUCUGCCCUAUCCAUAGGUACCGGGCCGCUGCCUCUCGCAGCUGACUGCGCCUGCCCAAUGGGCCCAGGCUCCACAGUCCAAAAAGGGUCCAGGCACGGAUCGUCCCCAAGCACUACCCGCCAACGUCGUUUCACACGAAAUGCUCUACAGAGCUACAAGUAUCACUAUCGGCUCCUAAGCACCUAGUGCGAGCCACCAGCCCCGCGAGUGAUCCAUGGCACGCUUCACACUUAGCAACGCUCAAGUGCUACUGCCAACACACUCUCCUGGCUGAAUCAGAAUCCACAUUCUACGGACAGCUAUACUCAAGCGUCCUACACUAUCGCGUCUCUUGCCAGACAUCUCACGCUAGGCAAUUCAGCCUAUGUCUCAAUUACGCAACCACAAUUCCUCAACUUAUUUGAGGUACAACUCAACUAACUCGCCAAAACCAGGCGAUCAUCUAACCAUGCCACAACAGUGACGCCCUUACCACUACACAAUCCAUCGGAAAUACCAUCUGGAUUUUCGAACUCUAGAAACGUCUUCUAACGUUUCUACUUUAACUCUCAUUACCACCCGAAUGGUUUAGAGAAUAGGUCCACCACGUCCCUCUUCAUCUCGAGCCCCAACAUUGGCUCACUGUGACUGCUCACCAGCACUAUUCAACCGUAUAUUCUACAAUAGACGAUAUAUUCUCUUCAUCCCUGCAUGCUAGGGUCAAUUCCAAGUUUCUAUCACACUCUUGCAUGUACCGCUCGGAGUUCGUAUCGUUUCCAAGUAUACAAUCUUCUUACUGAAGGCAAAUUACCAUCACUUCACUUAUCCAAUACUACACGCGGCCUUGCCGUGUGAAAGUCACCACAAUCAUUCCUCUCGAAGUAAAAGGUCAACCAACAGACCUUUCCGAAUUCUAGGAUAACGACUACAACUCCCUUCCGGGUGUCACUUAACACUCGAUUAACCACUUAAGCUCAAUAUCAGUCGCUUAUCCUUCAUUCUUCACUAAUCAAUUCGCGCAUUUUCCGCACAAAUAUCACUUAACUUCGACCAUAAGGUUCAAUUUGAUACUUCCUCAGAAGUUCAUAGCUUAGGACUGCGUAUAACUUUGAUACAUUUUCUGUCGAAGUUUCCUUAUUUCAUAAUCGGCCUUGUUUCCAAUAUCUUACACUGUGUACUAAUCAUAGCUUAGCAUAUAGAAACUCUUUCUACCUACUUUUCUCUGAACAGGCAUCCUGCUAUAGCGCCCAUGAUUUAUCUUGAAGUCCACUUGUCGUUAAUUCCAACAACAACUCUAUAUCCUGUCCCCGAUUUCUCGUUCUCUUUCACACGAUUCGCGUUCAUCACGCGCAAUCACAUUUCCACGCUCCACCCAAAGAGCUCGAUCCAGGACUUCUUCAAAUGACUUCAGCUUUAAAGCAUUGAUCAUUUUGAAUAUCUCAGGCCGUAAUCCCCGCUCGAAGUAUUCUGCUCGAUCUGCGGGUAUUCCUUUAUCCACAACAGAUGGAUUAAAUUUUCCGAAGGUCACAAGGGUUAUCCAACUACUUCACAGUCUUCUAGAGUCCAUCGACUCAAUCCACCAAAUUUGUGCAUCCUUUUCGAAACAGUGUGCUGCCAAAUGAAUCUUAUCCUUUUCCAGGGUACAGAUGUCUUCAAAUAAGGCUUCCAUCGAUGUGAGCCAUGUCUCCAAUAUCCAAAGAUCUGCCUCUUUUCCAUCAAAUAUAGGCGGAUUAAACAGCAUAAACGCCGUCAGUCCUACUAACGAUUGCUUGUGCUCGGCCCUUGUUGCAGCCGAAUCAGAAUCAGACGGCCCAGAAACCACUGGAGGGAUAAUCACUGAGGGAGGGGGCACAAUCGCUGGCGGAUCAGGUAUAGGUGCAUCCUGACUCCAAGAUGCUGGUGUUGUCGCCUGUUGCAACACUAAAUCCUGUAACCUCCUUAUGUUCUCUUCCUGCCUCUGCAUAGCUCCAACCAAUGCGCUCACCGGAGCACGUAGCUCCUGAACUUCGCUAGAUCCAGUCUGCUCUGGCAUCCCAGAAGGUGAUGCCGGAGUGGAUCUCGUCGCACGUCGCGACAUUUCUCUUGAAAUGAACCGUUUACACUAGCAAAACAAAACAAUCAGGCGAAAGCAAUCAAGUGUAUUUAUACUCAACCCUUAGCUUUAUGUUGUGGGCCCCCAACAUAACUCCUUUAGUUGUAUAUAAAUAACACUUGGAUCAGCCCCUAAUUAACAUUAGAGACUUACUAACAACUAACCAAAUUAAUUUAGCUUUCGCUAUCAUUAGAUUCGCGCCACUCGCGUUCCUGGUUCCUAGGUUUCCAUUCCUAAGUCCCCUAGGUCAUCCUAGACUUUCACUAUCACUUGCUCUGAUACCACUUUAUCUGUCACGUCCCGCUAUCGCCAAUUUGGUCGAUCCGGGCCCGUACACAGACGCCGAACGAACAGCACUCCUUCUGUUCGCCAAGGUCAACAACAACGAAUACAUGUAUAAAAGAAAUAAACAAUCCAGGAUACAUUUCAACUAUACGGGAUGGCUUGCACGAGGCAAGCAAAAUCACAAGUGUAUAGUUAAUCUAACCUAAAAUGAUAUCCAUGUAUUUAAACUUUACAUACUGAAACAUUUAGUUAUUUACCAUAGCUUUAUUAAAUUCAUUUACAUGUCUCUGUACAUCGAAAUAGAUACUAUACCAUUGAACCGCAAAAUGUUACCACUAGUACAUCGGGUGUCACUAGCUAGGCCUGCUUGGCUCUUGCCUCGAUCCUGCGCCACAUACUCGCUACAUGAACCUUAUGGUUCAGUGGUGUGAGAACUACAAGAAGAGUUGCCAGUGGGUUCGGCCGCAGACUCGGCGAGGCUCACCCACUAGGUCUACUCAGGCAUAUGUAGGCAAGAAAAGUAA